rnacentral:rRNA from 1 species
AAUGCGUAGAUAUCAGGAAGAACACCGACGGCGAAGGCAGCUUUCUGGCUGGCAACUGACCCUGAUGAACGAAAGCUAGGGUAGCGAACAGGAUUAGAUACCCUGGUAGUCCUAGCUGUAAACGUUGUGCACUGGAUGUGGGCGGAUUUGGUCCCGUCUGUGUCUGAGCGAAGGCGUUAAGUGCACCGCCUGGGGACUACGGCCGCAAGGCUAAAACUCAAAGGAAUUGACGGGGGCCCGCACAAGCGGUGGAGCAUGUGGCUCAAUUCGAGGCAACGCGAAGAACCUUACCUGGGUUUGACAUAUACCUGACCGCCGGUGAGAGCCGGUUUCUCUUUGAGCAGGUAUACAGGUGCUGCAUGGCUGUCGACAGCUCGUGCUGUGAAGUGUUCGGUUAAGUCCGGCAACGAGCGCAACCCACGCUGUUAGUUACCAUCAGGUAAUGCUGGGGACUCUAACAGGACUGCCCGUGCUACGCGGGAGGAAGGCGUGGACGACGUCAAGUCCGCAUGGCCCUUACGCCCAGGGCUGCACACGUGCUACAAUGGCCGGUACAGAGGGUCGCCACUCUGCGAAGAGGAGCUAAUCCCGAAAACCGGCCCCAGUUCGGAUUGGAGUCUGCAACCCGACUCCAUGAAGUAGGAAUCGCUAGUAAAGGCGUAUCAGCACCGGCGCAUUGAAUCUGUUCCCGGGCAUUGACACACCGCCCGUCACAUCAUGGAAGCC